rnacentral:rRNA from 2 species
AAAUUGAAGAGUUUGAUCAUGGCUCAGAUUGAACGCUGGCGGCAGGCCUAACACAUGCAAGUCGAACGGUAACAGGAAGCAGCUUGCUGCUUCGCUGACGAGUGGCGGACGGGUGAGUAAUGUCUGGGAAACUGCCUGAUGGAGGGGGAUAACUACUGGAAACGGUGGCUAAUACCGCAUAACGUCGCAAGACCAAAGAGGGGGACCUUCGGGCCUCUUGCCAUCAGAUGUGCCCAGAUGGGAUUAGCUAGUUGGUGAGGUAACGGCUCACCAAGGCGACGAUCCCUAGCUGGUCUGAGAGGAUGACCAGCCACACUGGAACUGAGACACGGUCCAGACUCCUACGGGAGGCAGCAGUGGGGAAUAUUGCACAAUGGGCGCAAGCCUGAUGCAGCCAUGCCGCGUGUAUGAAGAAGGCCUUCGGGUUGUAAAGUACUUUCAGCGGGGAGGAAGGUGUUGUGGUUAAUAACCACAGCAAUUGACGUUACCCGCAGAAGAAGCACCGGCUAACUCCGUGCCAGCAGCCGCGGUAAUACGGAGGGUGCAAGCGUUAAUCGGAAUUACUGGGCGUAAAGCGCACGCAGGCGGUCUGUCAAGUCGGAUGUGAAAUCCCCGGGCUCAACCUGGGAACUGCAUUCGAAACUGGCAGGCUUGAGUCUUGUAGAGGGGGGUA